rnacentral:rRNA from 1 species
GACGGAGGGGGCGAGCGUUGUCCGGAAUUACUGGGCGUAAAGGGCGCGUAGGCGGUUUCGAACGGCGAUGGUGAAAGCUCCCGGCUCAACCGGGAGAGGCCCGUCGCGACGGCGAGACUCGAGGCGAGUAGAGGCAGACGGAAUUCCUGGUGUAGCGGUGAAAUGCGUAGAGAUCAGGAGGAACACCCGUGGCGAAGGCGGUCUGCUGGGCUUGGCCUGACGCUGAGGCGCGACAGCAAGGGGAGCGAACGGGAUUAGAUACCCCGGUAGUCCUUGCCGUAAACGAUGAAGACUAGGUGUCCGCGGUAUCGACCCUGCGGGUGCCGGAGCUAACGCGUGAAGUCUUCCGCCUGGGGAGUACGGCCGCAAGGUUGAA